rnacentral:rRNA from 1 species
GACGAACGCUGGCGGCGUGCUUAACACAUGCAAGUCGAACGAUGAAGAAGAGAGACGCGAACUUCGGCUCAAGUUUCACUUCGGAUUAGUGGCAGACGGGUGCGUACCGCGUGAGCAACCUACCCCUUACAAAAGGAUAGCCUCGGCAAACCGAGAUUAAUACCAUCUGACACAUUCAUAAGACAUCUUAAGAAUGUUAAGGCAACGGCGGUACGAGAUGGGCUCGCGUCCCAUUAGCUAGCUGGGGAGAUAACGGCCCAUCAAAGCGACGAUGGGUAAACGGGAUCAGAGAGUGAACGGUCACACUUGAAGUAGGAAGCGGUAGAAACUCCUACGGGAGGCAGGAGUGGGUGAUAGUGCACAACGGAGUGAAUUCUGAAGGAGCGCCGAUGGGUGAGCGAUGAAGGUAUUCAUUACGUAAUGCGCUGUUCUAUAUGAAGAAAAUGACGGUACCAUAGGAGAAAGCCCCGGCUAACUACGUG